GAAACGGUGAAUAGUCUGUCCCGUGUUGGAUUGUGAUGUCCCUUGUGAUGUCAUGAGCUCCAUGGGGCCGAGAAUUUUUCUUCCACCUCUUUACCACCAGCCCAGCAGCUAGAGGAACAGAGCAGUGUCCUACCUGUGCCCCUUAUCCUCCUCUGUAAACUGGGGAUGAAUGUGUGGGUGAGGGUGGAGUGGCCGUGUCCAGCUGUGGUGUCCCUGUCACGUUGGGGAGAAGUGAGAGCUGGUUGGAAAGAUGAAUCCUGCUGCCAGAGGGGAGGUUAUUUCCCGCCCCCGGGAUCUCCUGGCAGGUCCUUCCCACGUGGCUUCUCGGCUUCUUGUGCUUCUUGACUCCCCACCAAAGCUGCCGGUGUCACCCACCUGGCCGUCAUGCAAGGGUCCUCAGUGCUCUGUGAGGGUUACCCUCUCAGGACGUGGUGUGGACAUGAAGCUGGGCCACCAGGGACAGGCGCACACUCUGCCUUCCCAUCGGGGUGACAGCAGGUCCUGGGGAUUGGCGCGAGGACAGGUAGGUGGCCCUUCUUCUGCUGACCAUGGAGGGAAGAAUCACGAAUGGAGUGGACGCUGUUCCUCGCACCUGGAUUCCACCUCUGCAGCUCAGCAGACCCCGGGUAACUUGAAUGGUCAGUGAGGGGAACAAGUCGUGGUGUGGUGUCAGCUUCAGAGCCAGGCUGACUGGGGGUUGGAUCUCAGCCAGGUGACCUUGGAGCCCACAACAAUGGUCGUUUCACCCGCCAGCUCGGAAGCCCAGUGCCUCCCACUGAGCAGAGAGACGAGGAAGGUGAUGUCUGCAGAGCCAGCCCCUGGGCAGAGAGUGUCAGGCGGGGGCGGGUCUGGGAGGCCAACAGGAAAACCAGCCAAUGACCAAUGCCCGGGACCCCACCCAACCCAGAGCUCCGACCUCCCCAGUAGGACUCCCUGUUUCUCUGCCCCACCUGCCCACCCUCAGGUAAUUUGUCCUGAAUUUGAUGUUUAUCAUUCCACUGCCUUUUAAAACAGCUUUAUGCAAAUAUGUAUUUAUAUACUAAACACAGUGUUAUACCAAGGAGGGUGGGCAUAGGCCCGAAGAGGCUGUCUCGUCUGUUGUGGAGAACUUAAAAACAAUAAUAAAACCAUUCCAAACUUUUCCUACUUUUUCUUAUUACCACGUGUGGGCAAUUCUUAAUCAGGUCAGUGAUGAGACCCCGCUCCCGUCUGGGGCAGAUGCUCUGCUGUUUGAACAAUGCCCGGCUCAGGCUUGCUGUGAGCUCUGGACGAGGUGUGGUGCGACAUGGUUUUCUGGAAUCU
rnacentral:lncRNA from 1 species